rnacentral:rRNA from 1 species
GCCCAGACUCCUACGGGAGGCAGCAGUAGGGAAUCUUCCGCAAUGGACGAAAGUCUGACGGAGCAACGCCGCGUGAGUGAUGAAGGCUUUCGGGUCGUAAAACUCUGUUGUUAGGGAAGAACAAGUACGAGAGUAACUGCUCGUACCUUGACGGUACCUAACCAGAAAGCCACGGCUAACUACG